UACGUAGGGUGCAAGCGUUAAUCGGAAUUACUGGGCGUAAAGCGUGCGCAGGCGGUUCGCUAAGACAGAUGUGAAAAUCCCCGGGCUUAACCUGGGAACUGCAUUUGUGACUGGCGGGCUAGAGUAUGGCAGAGGGGGGUAGAAUUCCACGUGUAGCAGUGAAAUGCGUAGAGAUGUGGAGGAAUACCGAUGGCGAAGGCAGCCCCCUGGGCCAAUACUGACGCUCAUGCACGAAAGCGUGGGGGAGCAAACAGGG
rnacentral:rRNA from 1 species